GAUGAACGCUGGCGGUAUGCUUAACACAUGCAAGUCGAACGGUCACUUCGGUGAUAGUGGCGGACGGGUGAGUAACGCAUGAGAAUCUGUCUUCAGGUCGGGGACAACAGUUAGAAAUGACUGCUAAUACCGGAUGUGCCUUUGGGUGAAAGAUUUAUUGCCUGAAAAAGAGCUCGCGUCAGAUUAGCUAGUAGGUGGUGUAAGAGACUACCUAGGCUCCGAUCUGUAGCUGGUCUGAGAGGACGAUCAGCCACACUGGAACUGAGACACGGUCCAGACUCCUACGGGAGGCAGCAGUGGGGAAUUUUCCGCAAUGGGCGAAAGCCUGACGGAGCAAUACCGCGUGAGGGACGAAGGCUUUUGGGUCGUAAACCUCUUUUCUCAAGGAAGAUGAUGACGGUACUUGAGGAAUAAGCAUCGGCUAACUCUGUG
rnacentral:rRNA from 1 species